AUUGAACGCUGGCGGCAUGCCUUACACAUGCAAGUCGAACGGUAACGGGCCUUCGGGUGCCGACGAGUGGCGAACGGGUGAGUAAUACAUCGGAACGUGCCCGAUCGUGGGGGAUAACGAGGCGAAAGCUUUGCUAAUACCGCAUACGAUCUACGGAUGAAAGCAGGGAACCGCAAGGCCUUGCGCGGACGGAGCGGCCGAUGGCAGAUUAGGUAGUUGGUGGGAUAAAAGCUUACCAAGCCGACGAUCUGUAGCUGGUCUGAGAGGAUGAUCAGCCACACUGGGACUGAGACACGGCCCAGACUCCUACGGGAGGCAGCAGUGGGGAAUUUUGGACAAUGGGCGCAAGCCUGAUCCAGCCAUGCCGCGUGCAGGAUGAAGGCCUUCGGGUUGUAAACUGCUUUUGUACGGAACGAAAAGCCUUCUUUUAAUACAGGAGGGUCAUGACGGUACCGUAAGAAUAAGCACCGGCUAACUACGU
rnacentral:rRNA from 1 species